rnacentral:rRNA from 1 species
GAUGAACACUAGCGGCAGGCUUAACACAUGCAAGUCGAGGGGUAUUGGUUUUCGGACCAAGAGACCGGCGCACGGGUGCGUAACGCGUAUGCAAUCUACCUUUUGCAGAGGGAUAGCCCCAGAGAAAUUUGGAUUAAUACCUCAUAGUAUAGUACUUUGGCAUCAAGGAACUAUUAAAGUCACAACGGCAAAAGAUGAGCAUGCGUCCCAUUAGCUAGUUGGUAAGGUAACGGCUUACCAAGGCUACGAUGGGUAGGGGUCCUGAGAGGGAGAUCCCCACACUGGUACUGAGACACGGACCAGACUCCUACGGGAGGCAGCAGUGAGGAAUAUUGGACAAUGGGCGCAAGACCUGAUCCAGCCAUGCCGCGUGCAGGAUGACGGUCCUAUGGAUUGUAAACUAGCUUUAUANAGAAGAAACACUCCGACGUGUCGGAGCUUGAC